GGGGGCGAUCUGGAUUCGACGGGAGGAAUGAGACAAGGGUUGCAUGCACGGGAUGCCGUUGGCCCGUAAAAAAACGGCUUUUACAUAAUCGCCAACGAUUAUGAUGUAGCAGUAGCUGCUUAAUAAAAUAAGUUAGCUACCGUUCGCUUCUCCCAUGUCUGCGGGGAGUUGGUCGAACGUCAUUUAGCGGACUGGUCCGGUUCGGAUGUUUCGGCUGAACGGGGCGAGAUUUCUUAGAAACUGGCUUUGACCUCAUCCUGCCUCUGGGAGAGGGUCGAGGCGAGAUUUAAAACAGAGGAUAAGCAUGUAGACGCCUUUGAUUGAAACCUUUCGGACGGGGGUUCAAUUCCCCCCGCCUCCACCA
rnacentral:tmRNA from 1 species